ensembl:lincRNA
GGAGACCAUAUGAUGUUUACACACAAGAAUACUUUUGAAGACAAGAGGUGGGGGAGAAAAAGAAUAAGAGGGUUUGAUGCUCACAAGGUUGGUAACGAACAUGGCACCAGAAGCUCUGCAGAGUUCUCUCCAGAAAGGACCAUCUCACAGGAAGGGGACAAAUCAACCAGAGCUGCCAAUGUAUGGGGCAGCAAUGGAGGAACCAAUAGGAAGAGGGGCUGGACAGAUGGACCUGAGGAGCAGUAGGAGCCACCAUCCCGGCUCCCUGGAAAACUUUCUGGGAGGACAAGCCUUGAUCAGACAUCGCCCAGCUUAGUGGGCCCCACCUGUCUCCUCAUCCCUGCCCAAGCCCUGCCUGCAUGCUGGGCACCCAUGCACUCAGCUCUCAGGCAUCCGGAGUGACGCGGAGCAGCGUGGAGUCCUGCUCAUUCUCUGGCACGCAGCGCAGCCAGAAAUAUUUUCAGAUUUCUGAGUCUGUUUUAACUCUGAGGAGCCAGGCUGGUGGCUGAGGACAGAGAUGGCGGGAGACUGCACAGCCUUGGGGACAAUGACCAAAAAAGCAGCAGAGAUGUGGCUUCUCUCUUGGCAUGUAGGCCCACAGCAGCGUUGCUGCCAUAAAGACCCCGCUAGGGGGACUUCACGGCUUCUCAGGCUCUCCACCAACAGCGGGGGCAGCAGCGGCAAACGUCAGUGGUCUGGCAGAGUUCUGGGCUCUAGACAGAGUGGCAUUCAGAGACGUUCACGUCAUCCUUGUGGGUGCUUCGAAAGCCAUGGCAUUGCAGCCUCUGGCUCUUCCUGGAGAUUAUCAAAGGAUAUGCUGCAAAGGGGAGCAUCUCGCCUUGAGUCUUCUCCAUCAGGCAGGACCUACAUUGAGUAAAGGAACAUGAAACGCAUCAGCUGAGACCCGGCUUCAUCAUUUCAAGCUUGUGUGUGGUGAGACAAGCGUAGUUCUUGAGGUAGCCAGAAUUAGGUUUGGAUCCUGGUGCUGCUCUUCGAUAGUAUACUUCCCUUGGACUAACCCUGAAACUGAGGCUCAGUCCCUCACCUCACCCUGUGAAAUGGGUUGGAAUCCCUAGCUCAAAAGGUGUAAACCAUGACUGAGUUCACAAACAUUAAGUGACUGGCUGAGUACACUGCACUGUGUGUUCUCCCCUCCCUUCCUUGCAGCCAAGCGAAUGAUUUUGCUGGGCUCCAGGACUCCCUCUGUUCCUAGCAAGCACAUGGUCAGCGGCCUACCUUCAUUUAUCACUUCGCUGUCCUCUUUAUCUGUCUACUGGGUUCCUCUCCUCCACUUACCACUCUGCUCAAUUUUCUGUAUCUCUUCCUCUAAAAAUACCUCAAACCAGAUAUGCCACCAGGCAACAGCUCUGCCUCCCUAAUUUCAACACCAAAUACUUGGAAGUCUCUUCGGCACCCACUCUUUGUGCCUCCCACUAGUCACUCCUUAAGUAGCACUAAUCUGACCUCCCCCCAUCUACUGAUAUAGGCUCAUUGCCAAGACUUGUCAUCUUGCUGUAGGUUUCAAUUUCUUGAAGGCAUUUGAAGGUCAUUUCCCCCAGUCUUAAUGUGAUCCCUAAGGUUCGGUGUCCUCUUUCCUCCCUUCAUAGUAUCACUCCCAUAUUAUCACUGGGAACUUCUGUUUAGGCUCUCCAUGCUGCCUUCUUCCCCGCACUUCCCAAAUACAGGCUAUGGGUGGGCCAGAAGUGGGCCGAUGUUUUGCCUAAAGAGCCAGGUAGUAAAUAUAAUAAUCUUUACAGGGCUACAUGACCUCUGUUGCAAUUACUCAGUGCUGCCAUGAAAGCAUAAAGAAGCCAUGGUCAAUACAUAAGUCAAUGAAUUGGCUGAGAGCCAGUAAAACUUUGCUUACAAAAGAGGAGGUGGGUCCAGUUUGGCUAUGGGCCAUAUUAGCCAGUGGUGUCUAGUGGAAAGAGGAUAAACAAGAGACAGAUAUACCAGGUUUCCUCUGACAGGUUGGUGAAAUACUUCACCUCCCUGCUCCUUAUUAUCCUUAUCUGUGAAAGGAUAAUAAAAUGAUGAUGGUGACGUGGUGAUAAUACUUUCCUCAAGGUGUUGUUAACAGGGGAAUCGAGAUAAUGUGAAGUAUCCUCCGGCUUAGUCCAGUGAAUUUUAGUUUUCCGUUUUCUCCUCUCUCCUCCCUCUUUUGGUUCGUCUCUCUGCUCUCACAAUACCUGUACCCUCCCCUGCCUUCUAUAAUUGCAUUCACAAUCAUGUCUGCAAUCCCACCUCCGCCUCCACGUCUGACCUCUCUUCUGAGUUAAAAAUCUGUACAUUCAAAUUUGGGCAUGGUGGUGCACACCUGUAAACCCACAGCACUCUGGGAAGCUGAGGCGGGGAGAUUGAAAGUGUGAGCCAGCCUGGGCAACCUAGUAACUUUGCAAGACCCUGUUUCAAACUAAAAUUUAAAGGGUUGCAGGGGUUCUGGGGAUGUAGCUCAGUGCAUAGGCUGUGGGUUCAAGUCCAAUAUCACAAAACAAAAACAAAAAAUGUACACAUUUGAGGAAAAUCAGUAUUUCCACUGCACUUGUGUCUAAAACUCUCCAUGUUGAAGAGGAAGUGCCUCAUUUAACCUAACAUGCCUUCUCCUGGCCUCCUGCCGUGGAAGUCUUUGGCAUUGCUUUGCUCCUGGAAGAGACUGCGACAGGCCUCUCCUUCAGCUGUCUCUGCCCCUUUCCCCUCCAUCCACGGCCAUCAUUUCCAUGAAAGUCUUAUUACUCACACCUGGUGUUUUUGAACACUGUCUGUAUCUCUGCCAUUCUCCUCAUUAACCCAUGGUGCUCAGGAUGCCAAGUUACUCGUUCUCGGGCAGAGUGGAGUCACGACAUUCUCCAGUCUGUGAUGUCACUGAAGGCUCCUCCAUCCUCUCCUGGCGUUCAAAAUCCUAUAUGGUCAGCACUGAAAACCCUGAACCCCAAGCCCAAUGUGUUUGCCCAGGAUUUUCUGGACUCAUUAAUUCUUCCAUCUCUGCAGCCUUUCCUUUGCCUGGACAACCCUGCCCAGUCUAUCUCUGGCUGUCGCAUUCUUAUCUAUCUCCUUACUAUCGUUAUCUGUGCGUAGGCUCUGGGUAGGCUCUGGGUAGCAGCCAGGCCAGAUAUUUAAAAAUGCUGUGGCCAGACACAUGGCCCCUUGACUCCCCUUGAGGCUCUGUGCCCCAUCCUAGCUUUCAGAGCCUGCUUAUGAUUGUGCUUAUCUCCCAGAAUGCAUUUUCCUGUGUACUUUUGUGAAGCAUUGUGUGCUUGUGUUCUCUCUCCCUUUUGAUUAAAAAUUCCCAGAGAGAUUUGACAAAUGUAUCACUGUGUACCUGGUCCCAGUGCUGCGUCUGGCUGGCCACAAGUUUAUGUAGCAGGUGCAGGGGCUUUUAGCCUGCUCACCUCUGGGCAGACUUGGUAGCUCCCCUGCCUCCUCCAUGGGCAGAGUCUGUCUGUUGGGAAAAGCCAACGCAGAGGAAUAAGUUUCACUAUUCAGGGCUCUGGCUGUGAGUGAGCCUUUCAUGCUUUUGAUUUUGGGUUCUGGGUAAGCCUGUGUUUCUGGGUGGGUGUGCAGCAGUUGUGAGUGUAUGUACAUGGGGUGCUGUGGGUGUGAUUUGGUUUAUGCAAAUGUGGGGGGUGCUGUGCUGGUGUGUAUAUGAACAUAUAUGUGCAGUAUAUGCAUAUAGGGUGCUCAUGCAUUAAUUAGGUGAAGGAGCAGGUGUGUGUGUGUGUGUAUUGUUGGAUGUGUUGGAUGCAUGGGAGAGCAAUACGGAAAGUGGGCAUGUGUGUAGGGUGUAUGUGAGUGUUUGUGGGGUGUAUAACCUCAGACAUUCUGUUGUAAAAGAACAGAAAAGAGUCCUCACCUGGCUUUCCCUGGGGACUUGUGCUUAUCUAUGGGAGAAGCCUACGAAGUAGAACAUGGAGCAAAUGGUUUUGGAAAUACAGCUACUGAGUGAUAAAAUCAAGGGGCAAAUGUCGUACUUGGUGCCUAAUCAGGGUAUAGCAAAGAGCCACUAUUAAGCCUCUGGUAGCCUUUGAGGUUCAGUGGCCAGGCUGCUGUCCCCUCCAGAGAAAUUACAAGGGAGAGACCCUGCUCUCUCCACACCAGGCCAGGAACACGAGCUCCUUAUGUGAGGACAGAGCGGAGCAAGUGCUAUGAACCUCACCUUACUGAGUCCUUGAAGGUCACACAAGGAAUGGUGGCAUCAACUCUGAACUGAGAAGUCCACAUUCUCUCCUUCUCCUCUCUGUCUGACAAGGGAAGAACUGGCACAGCCAGUUACAAUCUGCCCAUAAAUCAUAAAUAUGAUUCGUGAUUACACCCUGGCCAAAGGUCAUGGGGCUUAAGGGAACUGACACUAGCUGUUCGUGAGAAGUGGUUUUCAGUAUCACAGGCUUGUGUUCACACAAAGUCUUAUACACGAGCUCAGUACAUAGAACUAGCUAGAGUGUAGCUAUUCUGGUAAGCUGAGGGGUGUGGUGGGGAAGGGGAGGCUGCUGGAGUCCUGGCCCUCACUGUGCCCUGACCCCAUUCUCCUGGCCCCGCCAGUUUGAAACUUCCCUUCCAUAAAGACCAAAAGUCUCAUUGUAAAGGGAGGUAGAAUGAAUUGUCCAAGGUCACAAGUGCAGCCCCAUAAAUGAGCAGCCUCCUGAAUGGCUGGUCUCAGCCACACUGACCUGUCCCUCUGGGCCAGCCCUAAAACCCUGCAGGGGAUGGAGGGGCAGAGGGAAUCUGGCUGGACAGGUGAGCUGGCUUUGAGGGCUUCCCCAACAUGGAGAUCAGGGAGGGAAGGAGUGAAGGUGCUAUUUGCAGGACUGUGAUCAGUGAAAACUGCAAUAGAUCUUUCAGCUUCUAGUGUGCUGAGCUGAAGCAGAAACCUGGCCUUCUGGGGAAGCACAUACUUUCCCUCCUAUGAAAAAUCUUAAUACCACAUACACUGUCUUAAGAAUUGAUAAUAAUGGCUCAAGGUCUCCCCUUGGAGAGAUCUCCCCUUCUGCCCUAAGCCAGAUUUCUGCCUGGUGCCCCAGGUUUAACUAUGUGCCCUUUGCUUUACUGAGCCACUCACUGUGUUGAUAAUAAUAUCGACA